rnacentral:rRNA from 1 species
AUUGAACGCUGGCGGCAGGCCUAACACAUGCAAGUCGAGCGGAUGAAGGGAGCUUGCUCCUGGAUUCAGCGGCGGACGGGUGAGUAAUGCCUAGGAAUCUGCCUGGUAGUGGGGGAUAACGUCCGGACACGGGCGCUAAUACCGCAUCCGUCCUGAGGGAGAAAGAGGGGGAUCUUCGGACCACACGCUAUCAGAUGAGCCUAGGUCGGAUUAGCUAGUUGGAGGGGUAAAGGCCUACCAAGGCGACGAUCCGUGACUGGGCUGAGAGGAUGAUCUGACACACUGGAACGGAGACACGGUCCAGACUCCUACGGGAGGCAGCAGUGGGGAAUAUUGGACAUGGGGCGAAAGCCUGAUCCAGCCAGGCCGCGUGUGUGAAGAAGGUCUUCGGAUUGUAAAGCACUUUAAGUGGGGAGGAAGGGCAGUAAGUUAAUACCUUGCUGUUUUGACGGUACCAACAGAAUAAGCACCGGCUAACUUCGUG